AGUGAACGCUGGCGGUAGGCCUAACACAUGCAAGUCGAACGGCAGCACAGUAAGAGCUUGCUCUUACGGGUGGCGAGUGGCGGACGGGUGAGGAAUACAUCGGAAUCUACUUUUUCGUGGGGGAUAACGUAGGGAAACUUACGCUAAUACCGCAUACGACCUACGGGUGAAAGCAGGGGAUCUUCGGACCUUGCGCGAUUAAAUGAGCCGAUGUCGGAUUAGCGAGUUGGCGGGGUAAAGGCCCACCAAGGCGACGAUCCGUAGCUGGUCUGAGAGGAUGAUCAGCCACACUGGAACUGAGACACGGUCCAGACUCCUACGGGAGGCCGCAGUGGGGAAUAUUGGACAAUGGGCGCAAGCCUGAUCCAGCCAUACCGCGUGGGUGAAGAAGGCCUUCGGGUUGUAAAGCCCUUUUGUUGGGAAAGAAAAGCAGCAGGUUAAUACCCCGCUGUUCUGACGGUACCCAAAGAAUAAGCACCGGCUAACUUCGUG
rnacentral:rRNA from 1 species